GCCCGAUGCUGGUCUCAGGCCCUGCUGGGAGACAAGAUCUGGUACUGAACAGGGCUCUCAGGAAAGAAGAAAAAGAUUCUACCUGGAGUGGAGGGGCCUCACACCUCACCACCUCUUCUUCCCACGUAGGGACUUUGAGCUGCCUUUGAGAUCCCAGGCAGAGAUCCCAUCAGAGGCCACCACCAGCUCUUGAAUGGAUCCCACCUCACACCAGUUCAG